AGAACUCCUUAAGAAAGUCUUCCGGUUUGUAAGUGUAUGUACCAGAACUCUUUCUUAAAGACUUCCGGUUUGAAUGAACUAAACCGGAACUCUUUUAAGAAGUGUUCCGGUAGUCAACCUUAUUUUUUUCCCCACCGGAACUCUUUUAAGAAGUGUUCUGGUGCAUUUUUAUUUUUAUUUUUAUUUUUUUUUAAAAUUAUUUUGUUAUAAUAUUUUUUUAUAGUGGUUCGAAGACGAGAUGCAGAUGGUAGGAUUCCAG
rnacentral:lncRNA from 1 species